CGCCGCCGCCGCGCGUCCGCUGGCUACACUUCCUCUUCCUCUGAACUCAUGGGCAAAAUAUGCUGCGCUGCAUCUUCAGGGGAAGCCGAGCGGCCGUGACAGCCGCAGUGGGAGCCGUGGGCCCGCCCAGCGUCCCCCGCCCCGCGCCCCUUCUAGUUCUGCGCCGCCACUUCCGAGCGGCGAGCCGAGAGCAGUCCUCGUGACCUCACGAUCUAGGCGCCCCAGGCUCACCGACCUUCCCUGUCGAUCCGCCUAACCAGGUUGUGUGCGGUCAGGAGAGCGCGUGGGAGACUAGGAUGCCCCAAGAUUUGAGCCAAGAUGCUGGAAGCGUGACCACCAUGGAGCACCCUGCCCCCAUUCUGAAGAUGACUGAGGCCAUCGGUGCCACCCGCUGAAGCGGUCUUGCUGCGUCCCAAGUACUCUGAGGCUUGGAAGGAAGGAGAAUCCCAGUCCGACUUCUAUUCUGCACCUUCCUCCCACCUCGCCUCACCCCAACCCGCGAUUUCACCUCACCCAGGCCCACUCUGCUUCUGGCUGAGCUGAAAAUGUCCCCAGUCCCAGUUAUUCUGUAAAUUAUGCAGUAACAACUUCUGGCAGAAAAUGGACCCAACAAAAGCUUUGGAACCUGAA